rnacentral:lncRNA from 1 species
AGAGGGGAGUCGUUGUGUGCCUGUCAAGCAGAGUAUAAAAGCCUCAGGUAUCCUGCGUGCUCACCAGUACCGAGGAGACACUCAUCGAAACACACACUCUCUUUUGCUCGAUAUAGAAGAAUGGCUUUUGGAUUGGAUUUAACUGGAGGAAGUGUUUCUGAGAUGAACACGUUUUACUCGGGGCACUACUGGCCCGCUGCGUGUCUGGAUAUGAACGACAAGGACGAUUACGCACAGGACUCCAGCAGAGGUGAGUGACUCAUUACCUUUAUUUCACCUUUUAUUACGAUUGUUUUGAGUUAAGUGUAAAUAUAUAUCUGUACUGAAAUGUGUUUGGGUUUAAUUUAGAGGUCAGGAAAGCUCAUUAAUAAUCGUCACUAUUUGUUUUUCUCCCUGUAGUGCACCAUGACGCUCCCCACAGGACGCGCUUGGCCACCCAGCGCCGCCGGAAGCGCACGACUUUCAGCAAGGCGCAGCUGAGCGAGCUGGAGAGGGCCUUCUGUGCCACUCAGUACCCGGACAUCAAAAUGAAGGAGUCCCUGGCAGCUAGAACUGGACUACUGGAGUCUACAAUUCAGGUCUGGUUUCAAAAUCGACGCGCACGCUAUUUCAAGAGCAAGAAACCAUCCAGAGAGGUCCACAGACCCUCCACAGACCACCUCCACCCGCACUUCACCUUCACCACAACUCCCGGUUCGCCUUUCCCCUACUUGGCUCCGUCGUUCCCUCCGGCCCACAGCCCGCCGUCCCCACCAGGCUACCCUGCUCCAAGCUUACCCGAGUCCACCAGGCUCUCCGCCAUGUCCCUGCCCGCACCUACAUCCCCUGUCGCCGCCGACCAGGCUCCAUCCUGCCCCCCGUACGGUCUCCACGGAGCUCCUCAAACCCAAUUCUACCAAACCGCAGACUUUACGCACUACUGCCACGACGUGCUUCCACACAGCGGGCUCGGUGAUUGGGAUCUAACAGAGGACUUAGAGGCUUUCCUUGCGGGAGCACAAGGGUCCGAGCCUGAGGGGAGCCGCUGCGCUGCAGUCGCGCAUCCCGGACCCAGUGAAGGCGACCAGACUCUGCCGAACCAGCAGAACUUCUCCAGCUGUGAGGAGGACCUGUCCGACCUGUGCUUUCAGGACCUGGGCGACUUCAGUGUGUCGGAUUUGGACAUUUCUGCUGCAAUGAUUGAUUAUCUAUUAGGUUGACUGAUCGAACAGAGAUAUGUAUUUAAUGUAAAGUUACACAUUGUAAAUAGUCUUAGCUUUAACAGAGUAUUUAUGACGACAUCGCCUCGCGGAUGGAUCUCAUGUGAACAAGAUGUAGUGAAGCAUUCAGAAAUGUUGAUUCUCAUAUUGUGAAGUGUCACAUCACACGAGCGUUACAAAUAAAACGUUUUAAUUUAAACCG